CCUACGGGGGGCAGCAGUGGGGAAUAUUGCACAAUGGGCGCAAGCCUGAUGCAGCCAUGCCGCGUGUGUGAAGAAGGCCUUCGGGUUGUAAAGCACUUUCAGCGGGGAGGAAGGCGUUAAGGUUAAUAACCUUGGCGAUUGACGUUACCCGCAGAAGAAGCACCGGCUAACUCCGUGCCAGCAGCCGCGGUAAUACGGAGGGUGCAAGCGUUAAUCGGAAUUACUGGGCGUAAAGCGCACGCAGGCGAUCUGUCAAGUCGGAUGUGAAAUCCCCGGGCUCAACCUGGGAACUGCAUUCGAAACUGGCAGGCUAGAGUCUUGUAGAGGGGGGUAGAAUUCCAGGUGUAGCGGUGAAAUGCGUAGAGAUCUGGAGGAAUACCGGUGGCGAAGGCGGCCCCCUGGACAAAGACUGACGCUCAGGUGCGAAAGCGUGGGGAGCAAACAGGAUUAGAUACCCUUGUAGUC
rnacentral:rRNA from 1 species